rnacentral:rRNA from 1 species
AGCGUACACGGUGGAUGCCCUGGCAGUCAGAGGCGAUGAAGGACGUGCUAAUCUGCGAUAAGCGCCGGUAAGGUGAUAUGAACCGUUAUAACCGGCGAUUUCCGAAUGGGGAAACCCAGUGUGAUUCGUCACACUAUCAUUAACUGAAUCCAUAGGUUAAUGAGGCGAACCGGGGGAACUGAAACAUCUAAGUACCCCGAGGAAAAGAAAUCAACCGAGAUUCCCCCAGUAGCGGCGAGCGAACGGGGAGGAGCCCAGAGCCUGAAUCAGCAUGUGUGUUAGUGGAAGCGUCUGGAAAGGCGCGCGAUACAGGGUGACAGCCCCGUACACAAAAGCGCAUGUGCUGUGAGCUCGAUGAGUAGGGCGGGACACGUGGUAUCCUGUCUGAAUAUGGGGGGACCAUCCUCCAAGGCUAAAUACUCCUGACUGACCGAUAGUGAACCAGUACCGUGAGGGAAAGGCGAAAAGAACCCCGGCGAGGGGAGUGAAAAAGAACCUGAAACCGUGUACGUACAAGCAGUGGGAGCACAGGUUUACCUGUGUGACUGCGUACCUUUUGUAUAAUGGGUCAGCGACUUAUAUUCUGUAGCAAGGUUAACCGAAUAGGGGAGCCGGAGGGAAACCGAGUCUUAAUUGGGCGUUAAGUUGCAGGGUAUAGACCCGAAACCCGGUGAUCUAGCCAUGGGCAGGUUGAAGGUUGGGUAACACUAACUGGAGGACCGAACCGACUAAUGUUGAAAAAUUAGCGGAUGACCUGUGGCUGGGGGUGAAAGGCCAAUCAAACCGGGAGAUAGCUGGUUCUCCCCGAAAGCUAUUUAGGUAGCGCCUCGUGAAUUCAUCUCCGGGGGUAGAGCACUGUUUCGGCUAGGGGGCCAUCCCGGCUUACCAACCCGAUGCAAACUGCGAAUACCGGAGAAUGUUAUCACGGGAGACACACGGCGGGUGCUAACGUCCGUCGUGAAGAGGGAAACAACCCAGACCGCCAGCUAAGGUCCCAAAGUCAUGGUUAAGUGGGAAACGAUGUGGGAAGGCCCAGACAGCCAGGAUGUUGGCUUAGAAGCAGCCAUCAUUUAAAGAAAGCGUAAUAGCUCACUGGUCGAGUCGGCCUGCGCGGAAGAUGUAACGGGGCUAAACCAUGCACCGAAGCUGCGGCAGCGAACGUAUCACUUAAAGCGAUUCAGCGGGUUACGAUUGACGGAGCGAAGCGACGUCAAAGCGUAUACAAAGUCGAGUCGGUUUAAGGAUACGUUCGUUGGGUAGGGGAGCGUUCUGUAAGCCUGUGAAGGUGUGUCGUGAGGCAUGCUGGAGGUAUCAGAAGUGCGAAUGCUGACAUAAGUAACGAUAAAGCGGGUGAAAAGCCCGCUCGCCGGAAGACCAAGGGUUCCUGUCCAACGUUAAUCGGGGCAGGGUGAGUCGACCCCUAAGGCGAGGCCGAAAGGCGUAGUCGAUGGGAAACGGGUUAAUAUUCCCGUACUUGGUGUUACUGCGAAGGGGGGACGGAGAAGGCUAUGUUGGCCGGGCGACGGUUGUCCCGGUUUAAGCGUGUAGGUGUGUGUUCCAGGUAAAUCCGGUUCACUUUAACACUGAGGCGUGAUGACGAGGCACUACGGUGCUGAAGCAACAAAUGCCCUGCUUCCAGGAAAAGCCUCUAAGCAUCAGGUAACAUCAAAUCGUACCCCAAACCGACACAGGUGGUCAGGUAGAGAAUACCAAGGCGCUUGAGAGAACUCGGGUGAAGGAACUAGGCAAAAUGGUGCCGUAACUUCGGGAGAAGGCACGCUGACAUGUAGGUGAAGUGAUUUACUCAUGGAGCUGAAGUCAGUCGAAGAUACCAGCUGGCUGCAACUGUUUAUUAAAAACACAGCACUGUGCAAACACGAAAGUGGACGUAUACGGUGUGACGCCUGCCCGGUGCCGGAAGGUUAAUUGAUGGGGUCAGCGCAAGCGAAGCUCCUGAUCGAAGCCCCGGUAAACGGCGGCCGUAACUAUAACGGUCCUAAGGUAGCGAAAUUCCUUGUCGGGUAAGUUCCGACCUGCACGAAUGGCGUAAUGAUGGCCAGGCUGUCUCCACCCGAGACUCAGUGAAAUUGAACUCGCUGUGAAGAUGCAGUGUACCCGCGGCAAGACGGAAAGACCCCGUGAACCUUUACUAUAGCUUGACACUGAACAUUGAGCCUUGAUGUGUAGGAUAGGUGGGAGGCUUUGAAGCGUGGACGCCAGUCUGCGUGGAGCCGACCUUGAAAUACCACCCUUUAAUGUUUGAUGUUCUAACGUGGACCCGUAAUCCGGGUUGCGGACAGUGUCUGGUGGGUAGUUUGACUGGGGCGGUCUCCUCCUAAAGAGUAACGGAGGAGCACGAAGGUUGGCUAAUCCUGGUCGGACAUCAGGAGGUUAGUGCAAUGGCAUAAGCCAGCUUGACUGCGAGCGUGACGGCGCGAGCAGGUGCGAAAGCAGGUCAUAGUGAUCCGGUGGUUCUGAAUGGAAGGGCCAUCGCUCAACGGAUAAAAGGUACUCCGGGGAUAACAGGCUGAUACCGCCCAAGAGUUCAUAUCGACGGCGGUGUUUGGCACCUCGAUGUCGGCUCAUCACAUCCUGGGGCUGAAGUAGGUCCCAAGGGUAUGGCUGUUCGCCAUUUAAAGUGGUACGCGAGCUGGGUUUAGAACGUCGUGAGACAGUUCGGUCCCUAUCUGCCGUGGGCGCUGGAGAACUGAGGGGGGCUGCUCCUAGUACGAGAGGACCGGAGUGGACGCAUCACUGGUGUUCGGGUUGUCAUGCCAAUGGCACUGCCCGGUAGCUAAAUGCGGAAGAGAUAAGUGCUGAAAGCAUCUAAGCACGAAACUUGCCCCGAGAUGAGUUCU